rnacentral:rRNA from 1 species
CACGUAGGCGGAUGUGUCAGUCAGGGGUGAAAUCCCGGAGCUCAACUUCGGAACUGCCCUUGAUACAGCACAUCUGGAGUCCGGAAGAGGUGGGCGGAAUUCCUAGUGUAGAGGUGAAAUUCGUAGAUAUUAGGAAGAACACCGGUGGCGAAGGCGGCCCACUGGUCCGGUACUGACGCUGAGGUGCGAAAGCGUGGGGAGCAAGCA